rnacentral:rRNA from 1 species
GACGAACGCUGGCGGCGUGCUUAACACAUGCAAGUCGAACGGAAAGGCCCUGCUUUUGUGGGGUGCUCGAGUGGCGAACGGGUGAGUAACACGUGAGUAACCUGCCCUUGACUUUGGGAUAACUUCAGGAAACUGGGGCUAAUACCGGAUAGGAGCUCCUGCUGCAUGGUGGGGGUUGGAAAGUUUCGGCGGUUGGGGAUGGACUCGCGGCUUAUCAGCUUGUUGGCGGGGUAGUGGCUUACCAAGGCUUUGACGGGUAGCCGGCCUGAGAGGGUGACCGGCCACAUUGGGACUGAGAUACGGCCCAGACUCCUACGGGAGGCAGCAGUGGGGAAUAUUACACAAUGGGCGGAAGCCUGAUGCAGCAACGCCGCGUGCGGGAUGACGGCCUUCGGGUUGUAAACCGCUUUCGCCUGUGACGAAGCGUGAGUGACGGUAAUGGGUAAAGAAGCACCGGCUAACUACGUG